AAAGAUUAAGCCAUGCAUGUAUAAGUUUAAUCGUUUUAACGAGAAACCGCGAACGGCUCAUUACAAUGGCCAUGAUUUACUUGAUCUUGAUUAUCUAAAUGGAUAGCUGUGGAAAAGCUAGAGCUAAUACAUGCACCAAAGCUUUGUCCUCUUGGAAAAGCGCAUUUAUUAGAACAAAACCACGCGGCUUCGGCUGCUUCUUGUUGACUCAGAAUAACUAAGCUGACCGCAUGGCCUUGUGCCGGCGGCGUGUCUUUCAAGCGUCCACUUUAUCAACUUGACGGGAGCAUAAUCGACUCCCGUGGUGGUGACGGAUAACGGAGGAUCAGGGUUCGACUCCGGAGAAGGGGCCUGAGAAAUGGCCACUACGUCUAAGGAUGGCAGCAGGCGCGCAAAUUACCCACUCUCGGCUCGAGGAGGUAGUGACGAGAAAUAACGAGAUCGUUCUCUUUGAGGCCGGUCAUCGGAAUGGGUACAAUUUAAACCCUUUAACGAGUAUCAAGCAGAGGGCAAGUCUGGUGCCAGCAGCCGCGGUAAUUCCAGCUCUGCUAAUACAUAGAAUUAUUGCUGCGGUUAAAAAGCUCGUAGUUGGAUUCGUAUCGGUACCCUGGAACCCUCCGGGUGUUUCUGGGUGUUAUCGAUUUAUAGUAAUGUUCGGUUCUGAGUCCUUAACAGGAUUCUUAACAGGCAUUGCAAGUUUACUUUGAACAAAUCAGAGUGCUUCAAACAGGCGUUUUCGCUUGAAUGAUCGUGCAUGGAAUAAUAGAAAACGAUUUCGGUUCAGUUUUAUUGGUUUUACGGACUGAGACAAUGGUUAACAGAGACAAACGGGGGCAUUUGUAUGGUCCCGUGAGAGGUGAAAUUCUUGGACCGUGGCCAGACAAACUACAGCGAAAGCAUUUGCCAAGAAUG
rnacentral:rRNA from 1 species